rnacentral:tRNA from 1 species
GCCAGCUCAGUCGUCAGAGCUUAGGCCUUGUGACCAGAAGGUCCCGGGUUCGAAUCUCGGAAGAGGCA